GCGAGCAGCCUGGCAGUCAGGUGCGAAGCGCGUGUAGGGGGGUCUCCCGCGGGCGAGGUGUGAGGCGGCCAAGCUCAGACUAGCGGGGGGCGGAUUUUAUCCUCCCUAGGGCCCGUCUCCGGGGUCUCGGACGCCGCCAGCCGUGUCAGAGGAGGGGAGUUCGCGUUCGGUGGCGUUUUACCUGCCCGCUCCCCAGGCGUGACUGUCUGCACGAGCGGCGAGAGCAGUGGCGAAUCGGGGCUUGGCGUUAGGAGCCCAGAACCGGGCCUGGAAACAGCCUGAACAGGGCCAUAAACUGCGGUGAGAUGUGGCUGCCUCCAGAGUCCAGCCACAGAUGGUUUCUUUUUGGAGGAGAACUGACCCUUUGGCAAUGAGUGAUGGUGAAGGCAUGGAAGGGAUAAUAGUCACUAAAAGAAGCCGUAGAGAAAAUAAGAAAAGAGAGACAACAGAAAAGUACUUUGCGUUCACCCCUACGACAAGUGCAACUCCUUAAUGCAAAUGGGAGACUCAUGAACAAGAGGAAGUUCCCCACAGAUGAAUGGGAGCAGCCUAGCACCGCAGUCAUCCUCACUGAAUCCUUGUGUCCGAUGGACAGCAUGCCGGAAGCUCCUCUGCAACAGGAGCUUUUUGUAGGAAAUGCCCAGAGAAGAUGAGCCUUGUCGCGCAAUUCUCAAGCACAUUUCAGGAUUUGCCCUAGAAGGGCUCCUCAAAUCUUUAUGGCAACAUAAGGAAACACCAGUGCUGAGAAUGGAUGACUCAUCACAGACCAUACCCAGAGGCCUGUGAUCUGAAGAGGUCACCCUUCAAGUGUUUCUAAGUUUGCAAGCCUGGACCAGAAGUGCCACUCUUUCUUCUGGAUUCUAGCUGGUUUCCUUCUCUAACCUAUCAGAAGGGCAUUUGCCAGUUCUGCAUUUUGUACCCAGGAUAAAAGGAUUUUAUUAAACUGAUCAUGUAUA